GGGCCCGCACAAGCGGUGGAGCAUGUGGUUUAAUUCGAUGCAACGCGAAGAACCUUACCUACCCUUGAAAUCCUCAGAAUUCUCUAGAGAUAGAGAAGUGCCUUCGGGAACUGAGUGACAGGUGCUGCAUGGCUGUCGUCAGCUCGUGUCGUGAGAUGUUGGGUUAAGUCCCGUAACGAGCGCAACCCCUACUCUUAAUUGCCAGCGGUUAGGCCGGGAACUUUAAGAGAACUGCCGGUGAUAAACCGGAGGAAGGUGGGGAUGAUGUCAAGUCAUCAUGGCCCUUACGGGUAGGGCUACACACGUGCUACAAUGGACAGUACAGAGGGCUGCAAACCCGCGAGGGGGAGCGAAUCCCUUAAAACCGGUCUCAGUUCGGAUCGGAGUCUGCAACUCGACUCCGUGAAGUUGGAGUC
rnacentral:rRNA from 1 species